CACUCAGUUCAUCAUAGAAACCAAAGGUGGACACGCAAUGUUUUAUAAUUCAGGCCUGGAACAACAGAGAUGUGGAGAACAUGCUGAUGGAUCACCACAACCAGAGCAACUCAGGACAACACCACGACAAGAACCUGGGCAGAUAAACUGUUGAUGUCUCGUCUGUGACGUUAAAUCGAGCUUAAAUCUGAGA